ACUGAUGGAUCUGGCAACAGUUAGCACCAAGUUGAUCUUUAUAGACAAAUGCAAGAAAAUGAUGCCCAUAUAAUCAAAUCAACAGCCAAUUGUGACUUUCUGUGGUGUUAAAGAGCAACUUAAUGAUAAGUGUUUCCCAAACUUUGUUUCAUACAUAAAAGUGAAAAUGUAUGACUGCGCUUAAUUAUCUUGAGUUCCAUUUCAUCAAAAGCUUUGAUUUGCAUAACUGCUGAGAAAAUCCAGCACAUUACUGCAAGUUAAAUGAGAGAGAAUGGCAGGAGGACAAGCAGAAGCAGACCAGGAGAAUACUGAUGAUUGAAAACAAACAAACAAACCAAAAGUACAUAAUU